rnacentral:rRNA from 1 species
AUAACGGUCCUAAGGUAGCGAAAUUCCUUGUCAGGUAAGUUCUGACCCGCACGAAAGGCGUAAUGAUUUGGGCACUGUCUCAACAGCCCGCCCGGCGAAAUUGUAGUACCGGUGAAGAUGCCGGUUACCCGCAACUAGACGGAAAGACCCCAUGGAGCUUUACUGCAGCUUAAUACUGAGAUUCGGUAAAUCAUGUACAGGAUAGGUGGGAGACUUGGAAACAUGGCCGUCAGGUCGUGCGGAGUCAUCCUUGGGAUACCACCCUUGGUUUGCUGGGUUUCUAACCUGCGGCCCUGAAUCGGGUCGGGGGACACUGUUAGGCGGGCAGUUUGACUGGGGCGGUCGCCUCCUAAAGAGUAGCGGAGGCGCUCAAAGGUUGGCUCAGCAUGGAUGGAAACCAUGCAAUGAGUGUAAACGUAUAAGCCAGCCUAACUGCGAGACCGACGGGUCGAGCAGUAACGAAAGUUGGAGUUAGUGAUCCGGUGGUAUGUGAGUGGAAAUGCCAUCGCUCAACGGAUAAAAGCUACCCUGGGGAUAACAGGCUGAUCUCCCCCAAGCGUCCACAGCGACGGGGAGGUUUGGCACCUCGAUGUCGGCUCGUCACAUCCUGGGGCUGUAUUCGGUCCCAAGGGUUCGGCUGUUCGCCGAUUAAAGUGGCACGCGAGCUGGGUUCAGAACGUCGUGAGACAGUUCGGUCCCUAUCUGUUGCGGGCGUCGGAGAUUUGAAGGGAGCUGUCCUUAGUACGAGAGGACCGGGAUGGACAUACCUCUGGUGCACCAGUUGUUCUGCCAAGGGCACAGCUGGGUAGCUACGUAUGGACGAGAUAAACGCUGAAGGCAUCUAAGCGUGAAACUCCCCCUAAGAUGAGAUCUCCCCUCCCUCGAGGAGUAAGGCUCGACGUAGACUAUGUCGUUGAUAGGUCAGGGGUGUAAGUGCUGUAAGGCAUGCAGCUGACUGAUACUAAUAAGCCGAAAGCUUGACCU